GCGGGUGUAGUUCAAUGGUAGAACACUAGCCUUCCAAGCUGGAUACCCGGGUUCGAUUCCCGGUACCCGCUCCA
rnacentral:tRNA from 1 species